rnacentral:lncRNA from 1 species
AUUAUAUACACAUGUGUGUAUAUGUGUGUAUUAUACACACAGACACAACACAACAACACACAUCCUGUUGGUUCUGUAACUCUGAAGAAAUCUAACACAAUACUGUAGGUAUUCAAAUUUUCAUUAUCAUAAUUACUUUAUUUUAUCUUUAUCUUUCUAGCAGUGAAUAUCACAGAUUAUUGACUUCAUUUGGAACAUAAAUAAGUUAUUCCAAGUAUUCUAAUAUCAAUAAAAUAUUAUAUGAAAUAUUUACAUACUUAAGCACUGAAUCUUGACAAAAGUAAAUGACUUUUUUUAGGUUUGAUCUUCGCAGUGGCCUGUGGCUAAGACUGAUAUUAAAGGAAGAAUUAAAAUCCUGAAUCAAUCAUGAACUUUAAAGUUAAGAUGAAUUCAAGGAUAUCAAACUUGACUGCAUAAGAGAGUAUCAUGUUUGGAGAGAAGAAAUAAUUUUAUUGCGAGACACAAAGUGGUGUCUGUCACUUAAAUCCUUCACCAAUCUACCUCCUGUACUCGUGGAAAAAAAGGAAUCAAUAAGGAACAUACAACUCUGGAGAACUGACUAUAUGUUGUUUUACUAAGAAAAAUGUGAUCACAUCACUUUUGUACCUAAAUUUCUUCAAAAUUUCUACAAAGCUCUGAGAAUAAAACUCUCUCAGCAUAGCUAGCAAGAUGAUGCAUGAUCUUCCUAGCUACCUACUAGGCCGUCCUUAUCUCAAACCUCUGCCCCUUAAGCUCCAUCUGAGAAUACCAGUCUUCUUUUAGUCUCUCUUGUAUGUUAUUUGUCUUAUCUUUUGCUGCUUUCAGAACUUUUUCUUUGUCCUAAUUUUUUUAUAGUUUGAUUAUUACGUGCUGUGGCUAAUUCCAAAAAAGGUUAAAAUUGAUUGGAGAACUCUGGCCUUCCUAUAUCUGGAUAUUGGCAUCUUUUCCCAGAUUUGGGAAGUUUUCAGCCAUUAUUUAUUUAAAUAUGCCUUUUCCUUCUGAAAUUCUUA